rnacentral:rRNA from 1 species
AACGCUGGCGGCUGCCUAAUACAUGCAAGUAGAACGCUGAAGAGAGGAGCUUGCUCUUCUUGGAUGAGUUGCGAACGGGUGAGUAACGCGUAGGUAACCUGCCUUGUAGCGGGGGAUAACUAUUGGAAACGAUAGCUAAUACCGCAUAACAAUGGGUGACACAUGUCAUUUAUUUGAAAGGGGCAAUUGCUCCACUACAAGAUGGACCUGCGUUGUAUUAGCUAGUAGGUGAGGUAACGGCUCACCUAGGCGACGAUACAUAGCCGACCUGAGAGGGUGAUCGGCCACACUGGGACUGAGACACGGCCCAGACUCCUACGGGAGGCAGCAGUAGGGAAUCUUCGGCAAUGGGGGCAACCCUGACCGAGCAACGCCGCGUGAGUGAAGAAGGUUUUCGGAUCGUAAAGCUCUGUUGUAAGUCAAGAACGAGUGUGAGAGUGGAAAGUUCACACUGUGACGGUAGCUUACCAGAAAGGGACGGCUAACUACGUGCCAGCAGCCGCGGUAAUACGUAGGUCCCGAGCGUUGUCCGGAUUUAUUGGGCGUAAAGCGAGCGCAGGCGGUUUGAUAAGUCUGAAGUUAAAGGCUGUGGCUCAACCAUAGUUCGCUUUGGAAACUGUCAAACUUGAGUGCAGAAGGGGAGAGUGGAAUUCCAUGUGUAGCGGUGAAAUGCGUAGAUAUAUGGAGGAACACCGGUGGCGAAAGCGGCUCUCUGGUCUGUAACUGACGCUGAGGCUCGAAAGCGUGGGGAGCGAACAGGAUUAGAUAACCUGGUAGUCCACGCCGUAAACGAUGAGUGCUAGGUGUUGGAUCCUUUCCGGGUAUUCAGUGCCGCAGCUAACGCAUUAAGCACUCCGCCUGGGGAGUACGACCGCAAGGUU